rnacentral:lncRNA from 12 species
CAACACCUGACUUCUAGAUGCCAAUGUCUGUUUCUGUCAAGAUGGGGUAUGAUGCGUGUGGUAGCAAACCACUUCCAAAAUUCAGGGAGUUUGGAUGGCCACACCGAGUUUUGGGCAAUGACCAAACAUGAUCUGAUCUUCCUUGUCCUGUGGGACAUCAUCUCUUGCUAUGGUUAGGAAGGCCGGCCACGACCAUCCUGUGAAGAGCCACGAUAGAGUCUGCAAAAUACUGAGAGAUAUGUGACAGUUCACUCCUGUCAUCUCAGCCAAACACUCAUAGUCAAGGACUCGGUUCCUUGCCUCUGUCUGCACAGAUAUAGUCAACACUUUGAUCUGUGAGAAAAAAACAAAAAAGGAAUAUUGAAGAAGCCAG